rnacentral:antisense_RNA from 1 species
UGUGGGAGCUGGCUUGCCAGCGAUGGGGUCAACUCGGUUUGUCAGAGACACCGCGGUGAUCCUAUCGCUGGCAAGCCAGCUCCCACA